rnacentral:rRNA from 1 species
AUGAACGCUAGCGGCAGGCUUAAUACAUGCAAGUCGUGGGGCAGCAUGAGUAGCAAUACUUGAUGGCGACCGGCAAACGGGUGAGGAACACGUACACAACCUUCCUUCAAGCGGGGAAUAGCCAGAGAAAUUUGGAUUAAUACCCCAUAAUAUAUUUGAUAAGGCAUCUUAUUAAUAUUAAAGCUUCGGCACUUGAUGAUGGGUGUGCGGCUGAUUAGAUAGUUGGCGGGGUAACGGCCCACCAAGUCUACGAUCAGUAGCUGAUGUGAGAGCAUGAUCAGCCACACGGGCACUGAGACACGGGCCCGACUCCUACGGGAGGCAGCAGUAAGGAAUAUUGGACAAUGGACGAAAGUCUGAUCCAGCCAUGCCGCGUGAAGGAUUAAGGUCCUCUGGAUUGUAAACUUCUUUUAUAUGGGACGAAAAAAGGGCAUUCUUGUUCACUUGACGGUACCAUAUGAAUAAGCACCGGCUAACUCCGUG